CUCACCCCAGUCGACAUUCUCCUUGUUUUAUUUGUUUUAUUUGUCUUAUUUGUUGUUUUAUACUCCAAAAUGACUCGCAGAAGUAAUUCCACUUCGUCGUCAGUCUAGACAAGCCUUGGAAAGCGGAAGACGACGGACUUUAAGCGCAUGCAUUCUUUCUUCUUCAAUAGUUUUGGUGUCAAGUGGUUCUGUCUGCGCAUCUGUUCACAGCGCCACAGAUCACCACAUACACACUGCUGGCCCGAAACCAACCUUCAAUAACAGAGAGAUCGGACAUGGAUCACUAUUGACUUAACACCAGCGUCUGUGUUGGAGAUCAAGCUUGCUUGUGUGUCACUCGUGCGCAUCUGGUUCUCAUCACAGAGAAGAAAAGCUGCUGGUUCUGGCCAUGAGGGAGCUGGAUGAGAUGUAGAAGGAGGAGGAGGGAGUCACUUAUCCUUUCCUAUCAAAUUCCUUUGCCUAAUUAUUGCUGAUGUACUGUAUAUGAACAAAUGUACAUCUCCUUUUUGUGCAUUUCCGCAUGCACCCAUGGGUGGAAAAAACAAACAAAACAUGGAGAUGUGAGCUAAUGAGCUUCUCCAGGAAUGUUUGCCUUUUUCAUAACCGAGGCAAACAGAUACUUGGCACA